UCUAGGGCGGCAGCAGUGGGGAAUAUUGGACAAUGGGCGAAAGCCUGAUCCAGCCAUGCCGCGUGUGUGAAGAAGGCCUUCGGGUUGUAAAGCACUUUCAGUGGGGAAGAAAGCCUUGGGGCUAAUACCCUCGAGGAAGUACAUCACCCACAGAAGAAGCACCGGCUAACUCCGUUCCAGCAGCCGCGGUAAUACGGAGGGUGCGAGCGUUAAUCGGAAUUACUGGGCGUAAAGCGCGCGUAGGCGGUCUGAUAAGCCGGUUGUGAAAGCCCCGGGCUCAACCUGGGAACGGCAUCCGGAACUGUCAGGCUAGAGUGCAGGAGAGGAAGGUAGAAUUCCCGGUGUAGCGGUGAAAUGCGUAGAGAUCGGGAGGAAUACCAGUGGCGAAGGCGGCCUUCUGGACUGACACUGACGCUGAGGUGCGAAAGCGUGGGUAGCAAACAGGAUUAGAUACCCCAGUAGUC
rnacentral:rRNA from 1 species